rnacentral:lncRNA from 1 species
AAAAAAAAAAAAAAAAAAAAAAAGGAAUCAGUCUUAUUGAUUUUGUUUCAUUAAAGAUUAUUCACCCUCCCACCAUAAUGGGGAGAUAGCCCUUUCCUUGAUGACCAAGAAAACAUUCCUGUUUUUCUCCAUUAGGCUAGAAGGCCCUCUUAGAAAUUCAGCACAAACUUGCCUGGAUAUUGCUUCAUAUUGGGGUUAGCAACAGUAAUUAAUAAAACAUGAAGUGAAUUUUUCUGCCAGUCAUUCAAAUGAGAAUGAGGCCAAGAAGAACUCAUUCUUACUGAGUGAGGGCUGGGGAGAACUAAUCACCAGGAAAACUCACACCACCCACAAGAGAAAAAACAGGUCUCAUCACUGAGCCGCCAGACAAGUCCUAGUAGACUCACUCACUGUCGCCUUCCUAACUGUAAGGAAAGGAAUGGCUCCCCAACAAAAGGCUGAGACACCCGGAAGUGAAUACCCACAGUGCAAGCCUCAGCUGGGGAGCUUCAGGCUGUUUCACUGCAAUUAUUUCCACUUGCAAUGAGGCGGCUCACUUUGGACACAUAAAUAGGUCCUCAAGGAGAAAAGAAGUUCCGCUUAGGAUUCUUAACAGAGAACCUGAAGAAUCAGAGAAUAAAGCCUCUUCCUUUAACUUGCCCAUCAAACUAAAACAUAGCCAGGGGCACUCACAGGGGUAGGAGUGGACAGUGUGGUGUGGACUCCAUCCUCCCCCAGGCCAUCCCUCUCUUAGCAGUAAGGAUGCAUGGGGAAACUCAGUUCUCACUAGCUUUCUCCAGAAAUCAGAUUCAAGGCUGUACAAACCCUAUCACUUAAAGCACUGAGGAAUUAUUUAUAUAUAUGUAUUCGACCUUUUAAACCGUUAAAUCUUUUAAUUUUCUAUACUGUUAAAUUUUUAAUUUAAUGCUAACAUUUAUUUUAAAACUGAAAUAGGAUCUGUUAUUUUACAGAGAUUACAAGUUUAACUAUUUGAUUAGUCUCAAACAGAGACAACAUGGUUUAACGUGGACUAGUCAUUGGGAAACUACCACGGACUGAUACAGUUCUUCCUGCCACAGAGCUAAAGAAAAUGGCCUCCUUUACCAGCACUUUCCAUUUCCCAGCCUCUCCUAAAAGAUGAGGUCACAC